AUUGAACGCUGGCGGCAGGCCUAACACAUGCAAGUCGAGCGAGCGGCGGACGGGUGAGUAAUGUAUGGGGAUCUGCCCGAUGGUGGGGGAUAACUACUGGAAACGGUGGCUAAUACCGCAUACUAUCGGAUGAACCCAUAUGGGAUUAGCUAGUUGGUGGGGUAACGGCUCACCUAGGCGACGAUCCCUAGCUGGUCUGAGAGGCUGGUCACCCAAACUGGAACUGGGACGCGGCCCAGACGGCUAAGGUAAGGAGCAAAGGGGAAUGUUGCGCAAUAGGCGCAAGCCUGAUGCAACGAUGCGAAGUAUAAGAAGAAGGCCUCAGGGUGGUGAAGUACUUUCAGCGGGGAGGCGUUACCCGCAGAAGAAGCACCGGCUAACUCCGUGCCAGCAGCCGCGGUAAUAC
rnacentral:rRNA from 1 species